rnacentral:rRNA from 1 species
UACGUAGGGUGCGAGCGUUGUCCGGAAUUAUUGGGCGUAAAGGGCUCGUAGGCGGUUUGUCGCGUCGGGAGUGAAAACCUUGGGCUUAACUCAGGGCUUGCUUUCGAUACGGGCAGACUAGAGGUAUGCAGGGGAGAACGGAAUUCCCGGUGUAGCGGUGGAAUGCGUAGAGAUCGGGAAGAACACCCGUGGCGAAGGCGGCGUGCUGGGUUGCAACGUGACGCUGAGAUGCGAAGUGUGGGAGC